AUUAAUUAAGAAUAAAUAAAAUAUUGCAAUGAGUAUUUAAUUCUACCAUCAUUUCAAAAUAAUAAAACCAAAAAACUAUUAGAAAACAUUAAAAAAUGAAGAAAAAAACAACAAAAAAAAAGUAAAAAAGAAAACAAGUAAAAUACAAACAAAACAUUAAAAUAAAAGUUUGUAUACAAACAUCAGGUAUUUAAUUUAAUCGAUAAUUUGACUGCUUUUAGGCACUCAGCUAUUCAAUUAGUUAAAGCAGCCCAAAAAAAACAAUUGAAG
rnacentral:lncRNA from 1 species